UACAGAGGGUGCGAGCGUUAAUCGGAAUUACUGGGCGUAAAGCGUGCGUAGACGGUUAUUUAAGUCGGGUGUGAAAGCCCCGGGCUCAACCUGGGAACCGCGCUUGAGACUGGCAUGCUCGAGUUCGGGAGAGGAUGGUGGAAUUCCCAGUGUAGAGGUGAAAUUCGUAGAUAUUGGGAAGAACACCGAUGGCGAAGGCAGCCAUCUGGACCGACACUGACGCUGAGGCGCGAAAGCGUGGGGAGCAAACAGG
rnacentral:rRNA from 1 species